rnacentral:rRNA from 1 species
AUCAUGGCUCGAGGAUGAACGCUAGCGGCAGGCUUAAUACACGCAAGUCAAGGGGGUAGCAAUACAACCGGCGCACGGGUGAGUAACGCGUACACAACAUACCAUAUACUGGAGUAUAGCUUUGGGAAACUGAAGGUAAUCCUCCAUAACAUUGCGAGAGGGCAUCUGAUUGCAAUUAAAGUUUCGGCGGUAUAUGAUUGGUGUGCGUUUGAUUAGCUAGUUGGUAGGGUAACGGCCUACCAAGGCGACGAUCAAUAGCUGGCGUGAGAGCGCGACCAGCCACACUGGAACUGAGACACGGUCCAGACUCCUACGGGAGGCAGCAGUAGGGAAUAUUGGACAAUGGAGGAAACUCUGAUCCAGCCAUGCCGCGUGAUAGAUGAAGGCCCUCUGGGUUGUAAAUAUCUUUUAUCUGGGAAGAAACACUCCUAUUCUUAGGAACUUGACGGUACCAGAGGAAUAAGCACCGGCUAACUCCGUG